AUUGAACGCUGGCGGCAGGCUUAACACAUGCAAGUCGAGCGAGCGGCGGACGGGUGAGUAAUGUCUGGGAAACUGCCUGAUGGAGGGGGAUAACUAUUGGAAACGGUAGCUAAUACCGCAUACCAUCAGAUGUGCCCAGAUGGGAUUAGCUAGGAGGUGGGGUAAGGGCUCACCUAGGCGACGAUCCCUAGCUGGUCUGAGAGGAUGACCGGCAACACGGGAACUGAGACACGGUCAAGCCUCCUAGGGGAGGCAGCGGUGGGGAAUAUUGCACAAUGGGCGCAAGCCUGAUGCAGCCAGGCCGCGUGUGGGAAGAAGGCCUUCGGGUUGUAAAGCACUUUCAGCGAGGAGGCGUUACCCACAGAAGAAGCACCGGCUAACUCCGUGCCAGCAGCCGCGGUAAUUC
rnacentral:rRNA from 1 species